CUUCCUUCCAAAAUGCUUCUACAGAGUUUAGUAAAGGGCCAUGAGACGAAGAAAAGAAGUUCUGAUACAUUAAUACAGCUUCUGAAAAACAGCAGCUUCUCUGCUUCCUCGAGGGUAUCAAUACUUGGAUCUCACACUAGUUUCCUGUACCCUCAUGUGAUUCUAGAGCCUGGGACACAUGCUUUAUUUAAGUGGGCUCCCAAGAACAAAGUACAAGGCAGAAUGCGGCAGCAGCUUAUCAACUGAGAAUCAAGUAGCAACACAUUGUCGUUAUAUUUCCUCUCUGUGCUGAGUAGGAAACACCAGCAGUCAGAGGCUGGAGGAAUACAGCAAGAUCUUACAUAAGACUCCAAUCGUGCAGAAAAUCGAGCCAAAGCUGGGGAGGAGAGAAGGAAUUUUCCCAAAUUACAAAAUGAUGCUCAGGAAGAAAUGAAGCAGAUGAUUUCAAGUUCACAGUGCAAUGGCAAGCCCCACGAGUUAAAUGCUGAACACAAGAGUGUGCCAAGAAUAAAGCUGGUCACAACAAAACAAGUGACACAAGGAAACCAAAGCACUCUUGGCAUCUGGGUAGAAAACGUCACUGGAAAAGAAGUGAGCCAGUUACGUUAACUGAACUGAUUUGGGGGGGGGGGGGGUAAUAACCAGAAAGUUCUGUUAUAUACAGCAUAAAUAAAAGUGCAAUUCUUUUACACAAUUCCGUAGGG